AUACCUGUUACAAGAAAAGAAUUUAGAUGAAGCACAAUAUAGGUGUUCAAUUGAUCAUCUAUUGACCCUCGUUCGUGCUGGGAUAUUGCAAUAUGAGAUGGAUAUGGUACCUUUUAAAGAUUUUCAUAUAGCUCUUGAAAAGGCAAUGGGAAAACAAGGAAGUCAAAGGAAACAAAUUCUAAAAUUUUAAAAUAAAUUAGCUUCGAUUAUUGUUAGACUAUAUUUUUCAACUUGAAUUUUGUCAUUUCAUUUCUCCCUUCAUCAUUUAAUUUUAGGCAUCUAGUUUAUUAUUUAUGUUAAUAAGUACUAGUAUAUUUUUCUACUAUAAUAUUUAAAAUUUGAUAUCAGAUAUAA